GACGAACGCUGGCGGCGUGCUUAACACAUGCCAGUCGAACGGAAAGGCCCUGCUUUUGUGGGGUGCUCGAGUGGCGAACGGGUGAGUAACACGUGAGUAACCUGCCCUUGACUUUGGGAUAACUUCAGGAAACUGGGGCUAAUACCGGAUAGGAGCUCCUGCUGCAUGGUGGGGGUUGGAAAGUUUCGGCGGUUGGGGAUGGACUCGCGGCUUAUCAGCUUGUUGGUGGGGUAGUGGCUUACCAAGGCUUUGACGGGUAGCCGGCCUGGGAGGGUGACCGGCCACAUUGGGACUGAGAUACGGCCCAGACUCCUACGGGAGGCAGCAGUGGGGAAUAUUGCACAAUGGGCGGAAGCCUGAUGCAACAACGCCGCGUGCGGGAUGACGGCCUUCGGGUUGUAAACCGCUUUCGCCUGUGACGAAGCGUGAGUGACGGUAAUGGGUAAAGAAGCACCGGCUAACUACGUG
rnacentral:rRNA from 1 species